AGAGUUUGAUCAUGGCUCAGGACGAACGCUGGCGGCGUGCUUAACACAUGCAAGUCGAACGGAAAGGCCCUUCGGGGUACUCGAGUGGCGAACGGGUGAGUAACACGUGGGUGAUCUGCCCUGCACUUUGGGAUAAGCCUGGGAAACUGGGUCUAAUACCGAAUAGGACCACGCGCUUCAUGGUGUGUGGUGGAAAGCUUUUGCGGUGUGGGAUGGGCCCGCGGCCUAUCAGCUUGUUGGUGGGGUAAUGGCCUACCAAGGCGACGACGGGUAGCCGGCCUGAGAGGGUGACCGGCCACACUGGGACUGAGAUACGGCCCAGACUCCUACGGGAGGCAGCAGUGGGGAAUAUUGCACAAUGGGCGCAAGCCUGAUGCAGCGACGCCGCGUGAGGGAUGACGGCCUUCGGGUUGUAAACCUCUUUCAGUAGGAACGAAGCGAAAGUGACGGUACCUACAGAAGAAGGACCGGCCAACUACGUGCCAGCAGCCGCGGUAAUACGUAGGGUCCGAGCGUUGUCCGGAAUUACUGGGCGUAAAGAGCUCGUAGGUGGUUUGUCGCGUUGUUCGUGAAAACUCACAGCUUAACUGUGGGCGUGCGGGCGAUACGGGCAGACUAGAGUACUGCAGGGGAGACUGGAAUUCCUGGUGUAGCGGUGGAAUGCGCAGAUAUCAGGAGGAACACCGGUGGCGAAGGCGACUCACUGGCCCGAUACUGACGCUGAGGCGCGAAAGCGUGGGGAGCAAACAGGAUUAGAUACCCCGGUAGUCCAA
rnacentral:rRNA from 1 species